GGGCUCGCUUUGGCAGCACAUAUACUAAAAUUGGAACGAUACAGAGAUUAGCAUGGCCCCUGCACAAGGAUGACGCACAAAUUCAUGAAGCGUUCCAUAUUAAA